rnacentral:rRNA from 1 species
UGCCUGAUGGAGGGGGAUAACUACUGGAAACGGUAGCUAAUACCGCAUAACGUCGCAAGACCAAAGAGGGGGACCUUCGGGCCUCUUGCCAUCGGAUGUGCCCAGAUGGGAUUAGCUUGUUGGUGGGGUAACGGCUCACCAAGGCGACGAUCCCUAGCUGGUCUGAGAGGAUGACCAGCCACACUGGAACUGAGACACGGUCCAGACUCCUACGGGAGGCAGCAGUGGGGAAUAUUGCACAAUGGGCGCAAGCCUGAUGCAGCCAUGCCGCGUGUAUGAAGAAGGCCUUCGGGUUGUAAAGUACUUUCAGCGGGGAGGAAGGGAGUAAAGUUAAUACCUUUGCUCAUUGACGUUACCCGCAGAAGAAGCACCGGCUAACUCCGUGCCAGCAGCCGCGGUAAUACGGAGGGUGCAAGCGUUAAUCGGAAUUACUGGGCGUAAAGCGCACGCAGGCGGUUUGUUAAGUCAGAUGUGAAAUCC